CGGACGGGGGAGUAAUGUCUGGGAAACUGCCCGAUGGAGGGGGAUAACUACUGGAAACGGUAGCUAAUACCGCAUAACGUCGCAAGACCAAAGAGGGGGACCUUCGGGCCUCUUGCCAUCGGAUGUGCCCAGAUGGGAUUAGCUAGUAGGUGGGGUAACGGCUCACCUAGGCGACGAUCCCUAGCUGGUCUGAGAGGAUGAUCAGCCACACUGGGACUGAGACACGGCCCAG
rnacentral:rRNA from 1 species